UCUGAAUCCGCCCCGACCUCAACCCAGCUCUCUUUCUGUCUUGUCAGUGGGAGAGGACUGAGUCAGGAGAAUAUCAAGCUGUUUUAUUUCAGCAAAUGCUCAUAACAGCUGUAUUGCUGUGCGAAAAGCGCUGUGCUUUAAUCCUGUUACCUUAAAUUUAGGUCGAACUCUACCUUGUCACACUGCUCAGCCUUCUGAGCCUUUCUCCAUCUCAGACAGAGACACGAAGGCUUCUUAGAACAACUGCUUCUUAUUGUUAUGAAGGUUAAAUGAGUUACUUUGGGAAGGCAGAUUGUUAACCACAGUGCUCUAUAAAAGGUGUGAUCAGGUAUUAACUUGCUGGCUUCCCCUCUGUUAGAGUGGGGAGCACCCUUUACAUGUUAAUUCAUCUUGAAAGGGAGGUGUAGACUUCAGGUAGGUCAGGUGCAUAUAAACUUCUUGUGGUGCAACCUCAGACCAACUCUUCCUCCUCGUAAGAACUGCUGCACUCCAACUGCAGGAGGUGUAUGUCUACACCUUGCCUCUUGCAUUAAGUUGUAAAUAUUAGUGAAGGUACCAAACCUCAUUCAUUAAACUUAGCACAGUGCCUGGUACAUGGCAGGCACUCAAUGAACACCCGUAAUCUUGUCUUAUCUCCUUAUACCUGCAGUUAAUGUCAUAUACAAUAGAUAUUUGAUUAAAGAAUACAUACACAUAAAGCUUAGCUGGGUGCUGUGGCUCAUGCCUGUAAUCCCAGCACUUUUGGAGGCCUAAGCAGGUGGAUUAUUUGAGCUCAGAAGUUCGAGACCAGCCUGGCUAACAUGUGAAACCCCGUCUCUAUUAAAAAUACAAAAAUUAGCUGGGUGUGGUGGCGCACACCUGUAAUCCUAGCUACUCAAGAGGUGGAGGCAGGAGAAUUGCUGGAAUCUUAAGAGGUGGAAGUUGCAGUGAGCAGAGAUUGUACCACUGCACUCCAGCCUGGGCGACAGAGUGAGAGAUACCGUGUCUCAAAAACAAAAAAUAAAACGUAGAAUAAGUUAGGAAAUUAUUUGUUAAAUAUCUGGAAAAGCUCUUUUACCAGAUAUCCAAAUGGCUUCUUUGCCUACUUCAGAUCUUUGCUCAAAUGUUGCCUUCUUAAGGAGGCCUUCCCUGCACAUCCUACUGAAAAUAUGCAGAUUCCUCCAGCAUCUCCGAGGAAUCCAAAAGCCUGGCAUACUGGCAAAAGGCUUACAGCUGCAGGCUUCUUUGGCCUCCCAUGGCAGCGGCGCAGCCGAAUGGAUGGGGCGUGUCUCUGGAAUGUGUGUCCUUGCAUAGCGUUUAUAUCAGAAAGAGCUCCUGAGAAGAUCCAAAAAUGUUUUUAUCUCUUACUUCCCUGACAGGUUGAAGCCCCACCCCAAUGUGGCUAUUUGGAGAUGAGGCCUUUGGGAGAUAAUUGGGGUUGGAUGAGGUCAUGAAGGUGGAACCCUCGUGAUGGGAUAAUGGCUUGAUAAGAAGAGGAAGAGGGAGAGGUCGCUGUCCCUUUCCGCCAUGUAAGCACACAGCAGGAAAGCGACUGUCUACAAGCCAGGAAGAGGGCCCUUAUCAGGAACCAAAUCGGCCACCACUGUGAUCUGGGACUUUGCAGCCUUCAGAACUAUGGAAAUAAAUGCCUGUUGCUUAACCCA
rnacentral:lncRNA from 10 species